AACGAACGCUGGCGGCAUGCCUAACACAUGCAAGUCGAACGAGACCUUCGGGUCUAGUGGCGCACGGGUGCGUAACGCGUGGGAACCUGCCCUUAGGUUCGGAAUAACUCCCCGAAAGGGGUGCUAAUACCGGUUAAUGUCUUAGGACCAAAGAGUUAUCGCCAUUGGAUGGGGCCGCGUUGGAUUAGCUAGUUGGUAGGGUAAAAGCCUACCAAGGCGACGAUCCAUAGCUGGUCGGAGAGGAUGAUCCGCCACACUUGGGAUGCGACCCGGCCCAGUACGCGAGGGGGCGGAGGAGUAGGGUACACUAGGGACUGGGGCCAAACCCGGUCCAGCAACGCCGGGGUAGUCGUCCAGGGCUUUGGGUUGUAAAGCUCUCUUUCACGGGAUGAUAAUGACAGUACCGGGAGAAUAAGCUCCGGCUAACUCCGUG
rnacentral:rRNA from 1 species